AACGAACGCUGGCGGCAGGCUUAACACAUGCAAGUCGAACGCCCCGCCAGGGGAGUGGCAGACGGGUGAGUACCGCGUGGGAACAUACCCUUUUCUACGGAAUAGCUCUGGGAAACUGGAAUUAAUACCGUAUACGCCCUACGGGGGAAAGAUUUAUCGGGGAAGGAUUGGCCCGCGUUGGAUUAGCUAGUUGGUGGGGUAAAGGCCUACCAAAGCGACGAUCCAUAGCUGGUCUGAGAGGAUGAUCAGCCACAUUGGGACUGAGACACGGCCCAAACUCCUACGGGAGGCAGCAGUGGGGAAUAUUGGACAAUGGGCGCAAGCCUGAUCCAGCCAUGCCGCGUGAGUGAUGAAGGCCUUAGGGUUGUAAAGCUCUUUCACCGAUGAAGAUAAUGACGGUAGUCGGAGAAGAAGCCCCGGCUAACUUCGUG
rnacentral:rRNA from 1 species